rnacentral:rRNA from 1 species
AGCAGCCGCGGUAAUUCCAGCUCCAAUAGCGUAUAUUAAAGUUGUUGCAGUUAAAAAGCUCGUAGUUGAAUUUCGGGAUCAAUUAAUCGGUCGUGCCUCUGGUACGCACUGGUUUUAUUGGUUUCUCCCUUCUGACGAACCAGGAUGUCAUUAAUUUGGUGUCUUGGAGAAUCAGGACUGUUACUUUGAAAAAAUUAGAGUGUUUAAAGCAGGCUAACGCUUGAAUACAUUAGCAUGGAAUAAUGAAAUAGGACGUUUGAUCCUAUUUUGUUGGUUUCUAGGAUCGACGUAAUGAUUAAUAGGGAUAGUUGGGGGCAUUAGUAUUCAAUUGUCAGAGGUGAAAUUCUUGGAUUUAUUGAAGACUAACUACUGCGAAAGCAUUUGCCAAGGAUGUUUUCAUUAAUCAAGAACGAAAGUUAGGGGAUCGAAGACGAUCAGAUACCGUCGUAGUCUUAACCAUAAACUAUGCCGACUAGGGAUCGAGUGAUGUUAAUUUUUAAUGACUCAUUCGGCGCCUUAC